AAAUUUAUAAGAUUAAUAUAUAUAUUAAACUUUUAUUAUGAUACUAAUGGUCAUAUAGAGUACUAACUAAUUCUAAAAAAAGGGGGCUUCAAUUAACUGCCCAUACAUGUUUUUGUGUUUGAGUCUCUAUCAGUUUUUUACAGGGAAUCACAACCAGGCCUAACAUCAAAUUUAAAGUCUCCAGAAAGAUAAUGGGGCCCCACAAAAAUGAUUCCACAUGGACAAUAGUAAUACCACUAAGCUGACAAACAUGACUUACAGAUCAGCUUUGGACUAAAAACUGCUCAGAACAAUUUUAAGAUGGCUAGCUGAUAUGAUCCAGUUUCAUAUACUACUUGAACAAGGACUUGAGAUAAGCCCUGAAUUUUGGUUUUAUGAAGAGACUGGACAACAAAGGAUAUAGCUACUUUUCCUAGAACUUGAUAAUUAAGCCAAUUUUUUUCUUUUCAGAAGAAACGUGCCUUCACCGACAACCAGCAGGAAACUAUUUUAAGAACACGAUGCCCACAUUGCCAAAAAGAUAUGUAGUCUCCUGGCAGCACCAGUCUACUUCAGAGAAGAUAUGGGCAUUGAAGAAACAGCAUAUGGAGUUAACUUUCAUUAUGGCAUAAGUUAGCCACUGGACAACAAAGUUUCCUCAAAUCGACGGCUGACAAACAGGAUAAAAUGGACAGACAGGACACAAAAGAAAUGACUACCAAUCCAUGCCAAGACAAGUGUGGUUGUGGAUUUAGCAACAGACAUCCUCUGAGGCCAGGACAAUAUGGCACCAUCGCUGAAGUGGCUUUGCAAUCCAGAAAAGGUCCAGUGCCCCUUUCUUUGAAGGCAGCUGAACCAGCAAUGGACCGACGGCUUUUGGUGUACAGUGGAACAGUAGCUGAAACAGUUAUUCUUGAAAGAAUAAGUAGGGUGAUGGAGUCUAACCUCUCAAUGGCACUUAAUAAAAGAGAUGAAGCCACCCACAAGCUGAGAACAAUGGACAGCCAAAUACUAAAAACAUCAGCCAUUUCCAGAAUUUAAAAUCCUGAAUCAUGACAGGACACUGUUGGAAUUCAUGUUUACCAGUACAUGGACUACUCACCAAAUGUGAGGUCAAACUGUUGGGCCUUGUAUACAUCCUACUUCUCAAAUGAGUCUGUCAGAUACACUAAGCCAAUAAGCUAAAGAUGAUGCCCCAACAUUGUAGAGAAAUCUUGGGUGACUGUCCAGGCAGCUGGCUGUUUCUGUCAACUCACAUUUUUUGGAAGCUGCUUGCUCGCACUUCAUGUUUUAUUAGGUAUUAUUAUUUCCUUCUUGGGUUUCUGAGGGAGUUAAAGAUUAGUUAUAAUUAUAGUUAGUUAAAGAUUAGAUAGUUAUAGUUAGUUAAAGAUUAGACAGUUAUAGUUAGUUGAAGAUUAUAGUUUUCCAUGUUAAGAAAUUCAGAAAAGAAACUCACAAAAGAGGUGUAAAAUGCAUAAAUUUAGAAGACAUUAUAAGAUAGUUCUCUGUUAGUAAUAAUACAAAUUAGGAUAAAAAGUGAUUCAGGCACAUUACUUACCAAAAGAGGAUAGAUAAUGAAAUAUUUUCUUUGAGUUUGUCAAAUGCAAAUGGACUAAACAUUGUUGAGGUAUUUAUUACUUGUAUAUAUUGUAUAUAGUUAUUGUACUUAUUGUAUAUAGUUUUUUGUAUAUUAGUUAUAACUUUUUUCUUUUUAUUACAAUACAAGGGGGAAAUGUGGUGAUAAUUUAAUUGUGCUAAAAUGUGAUUUUAUUUAUAUGUUAAUAAAUAAGAUUUGCCUGUAGAUCUGAGGUCACAUAGUGAGGUCACACAGCAAGCCAUAAACAGAAGUCAGGCAGUGGUAACCCACACCCUUAAUACAAUCACAUGGCAGUCAGAGUCUCUGUGUGGUCAAGGACACAGCCAAGCAGUGACAUGAGCUUUUAAUCCCAGUACCAACCAUAGAGACCUGGAGGUCUGUAUAGACAGGCAGUGAUAAGGAAGUCAUGUGGCUGGGCUUAGAGCCAAUGGCAAAUCAGAACAGAAAGGCAAGAAUAAAACAGGUUAGAUGGCAAGAAGCUCUCUCUGUGGCAGCUACUGCUGGUGGUAAGCUAAGGUUAGUCAUGGCUAUUGCUCCAAUCUCUUUGGCUAUUACCUCUGUAUUUGGCCCUGUGUUUCGUAUUUAAUAAGACUGUGUAGAAAUUUGUCUACACCCUCCCAAAGGUGUCUUCUUCUACCUCAUUUAACAUUCUUAAAAGAGUUAUGCUAGAAUAGUUACAAAGUCAAAAGUGGGAACCUGGAUGCCAAGCAUUGGGCAAUGUGUGUACAGAAUUACUUCCCUGAUCCUUUUAUUUACCAGAGUACAUUCCAAGUCAUCAUAACAAUAUUUAUAAGUUAUUCUUGAAGUUGUGGAAUGCAUGGCUGACAAUGAAUUUUCAUUUUUUCAAGCAAUACCAGUACUGUUUAACUAUAGUCAGCACUGGCUAAAAUUCUUUAUAUUUUCAGACUUGAAUCUGGUGAGUGUAUUCACCGUUUACAUGACAGAUCCUGAAAGUGACUAAAUCCACUUUGAAAUGAGUCUGCAAUCGGUAUAGCAAAGCUUUUCUUGUAGUUUUAAUGAUUGUAUUUGAUUAGACCUUUCCAGAACUACCAAGUAAGGGAUUUUAACAAUUUUUUAUUAAUGAAUGGAUGAAUAGAAGUACUGUAAAGUCUACAGUUGUUUUAUUGAAAUAGCCAAAAAGCUUUGUAAUAAAAAUGAAUAUAUGUAAUAAAUGUUAGUUAAGAACCCACCAACCUCAUUUGCUAGACUUACAGAAUUAUUUUCAGUGCAUUGUGUCUUUUACCAUUAUUUCAUUAGGAUGUAUAAACUAGUUAAUCCUUCUUUUCUGGUUUCAAGCACUUUUAAUUUUUUUUGUGCUCCCUAAAAAUGAAAGGUGAUGAUCAUAAGGGGAAAUCCUUUCCCUUAUGUAAAGCUGCAAAUCCUGUUUUUUAGAAGGGCUGCUUUAAUUGCACAUAAACAUGAAAUACUG